rnacentral:rRNA from 1 species
CUAAGUCUGAUGUGAAAGCCUUCGGCUUAACCGGAGAAGUGCAUCGGAAACUGGAUAACUUGAGUGCAGAAGAGGGUAGUGGAACUCCAUGUGUAGCGGUGGAAUGCGUAGAUAUAUGGAAGAACACCAGUGGCGAAGGCGGCUACCUGGUCUGCAACUGACGCUGAGACUCGAAAGCAUGGGUAGCGAACAGGAUUAGAUACCCUGGUAG